rnacentral:rRNA from 1 species
AGAGUUUGAUCCUGGCUCAGGAUGAACGCUGGCGGCAGGCUUAAUACAUGCAAGUCGAACGGUAACGACCGGUAGCAAUACUGGGGCGACGAGUGGCGCACGGGUGCGUAACGCGUAUGCAACCUACCCUCAACCGGGGCAUAACGCCGAGAAAUUGGCGCUAAUAUCCCAUGUGUAUAUGGAGUGGCAUCUCUUCAUAUAUAAAGAUCCGUUGGUUAAGGAUGGGCAUGCGUAACAUUAGCUAGUUGGCGGGGUAACGGCCCACCAAGGCGACGAUGUUUAGGGGUUCUGAGAGGAUUCACCCCCACACUGGAACUGAGACACGGUCCAGACUCCUACGGGAGGCAGCAGUAGGGAAUAUUGGGCAAUGGAGGCAACUCUGACCCAGCCAUGCCGCGUGAAGGAAGACGGCCCUAUGGGUUGUAAACUUCUUUUGCCGCAGAGUAACCGCGGGGACGAGUCCCUGCCUGAGAGUAUGCGGCGAAUAAGUAUCGGCUAACUCCGUGCCAGCAGCCGCGGUAAUACGGAGGAUACGAGCGUUAUCCGGAUUUAUUGGGUUUAAAGGGUGCGCAGGCGGACCGUUAAGUCAGGGGUGAAAAGUUGGGGCUCAACUCCAAUCGUGCCUUUGAUACUGGCGGACUAGAGUGCAGGGGACGUGACUGGAAUGUGAUGUGUAGCGGUGAAAUGCUUAGAUAUGUCACAGAACGCCGAUUGUGAAGACAGGUCACGAAUCUGCAACUGACGCUCAUGCACGAAAGCGUGGGGAUCAAACAGGAUUAGAUACCCUGGUAGUCCACGCUGUAA